CUGGAUAGGUAAUCAUGAAACAAACUUUUCGAGUAAAUAUGAUGAAAAGGAUUCAGCUCGGAUGGGUAAUCCUAAUUGACUAGAUAUAUAAUGGACUGGCCAUCCAGAUUUACUUUAAGAGAAAUGCUCUGUUAUAUUGGAGAUUUAGCCUGGACUGGCAAUCCAACCAAGCCUUAUGGUACAUGGUAUAAUGAGAAAUUAGCCUGGACUGGCAACUCAAUUUCAUAAAUUCAGACUCGAGAUGGUACCUAAAAGGGGAAACCACUGAAUAUGGAUCAAUGAAAUACCCA
rnacentral:lncRNA from 1 species